ensembl:misc_RNA Metazoa_SRP Metazoan signal recognition particle RNA
GCCAGGCGUGGUGGUGCACGCCUGUAAUCCCAGCUACUCGGGAGGCUGAGGCAGGAGAAUCGCUUGAACCCAGGAGUUGGAGGCUGCAGUGAGCAAUGAUAGCGCCACUGCACUCCAGCCUGGGCGACAGAGUGAGACUCUGUCUCUA